rnacentral:tRNA from 1 species
GCCUGGGUGGCUCAGUCGGUUAAGCAUCUGACUUCGGCUCAGGUCACGAUCUCACGGUCUGUGAGUUCGAGCCCCACAUCGGGCU